rnacentral:rRNA from 1 species
GUGGGGAAUUUUGGACAAUGGGCGCAAGCCUGAUCCAGCAAUGCCGCGUGAGUGAUGAAGGCCUUAGGGUUGUAAAGCUCUUUCACCGAUGAAGAUAAUGACGGUAGUCGGAGAAGAAGCCCCGGCUAACUUCGUGCCAGCAGCCGCGGUAAUACGAAGGGGGCUAGCGUUGUUCGGAUUUACUGGGCGUAAAGCGCACGUAGGCGGUUUGUUAAGUCAGGGGUGAAAUCCCGGAGCUCAACUCCGGAACUGCCUUUGAUACUGGCAAGCUAGAGUCCGGAAGAGGUAAGUGGAACUCCUAGUGUAGAGGUGGAAUUCGUAGAUAUUAGGAAGAACACCAGUGGCGAAGGCGGCUUACUGGUCCGGAACUGACGCUGAGGUGCGAAAGCGUGGGGAGCAAACAGGAUUAGAUACCCCAGUAGUCC